rnacentral:lncRNA from 1 species
CAAAGCGCAACUAAAGGGAGCCUAAUGGCCUAUAGCAGAUCCUGAUAACAUGGACAUUUUGUCUCAAGCAGGAAGAGCUACAGCAGGGAGAAAAGGAUCUUUGCUGAUGUUGAACAUCAACAGGGAAUCCAGGCCUGAGCGGAUUCGCACGUGACGUCUCCCUGGAUACGGGGAUGGUUUCACAAAGGGAUUGGAGUCACUGAGAUGUAAGGAGAAGUCUGCUGGCAGCUUCUGGGACAUUACACCCUGGUACUGAAGAGAUUGCUGCUGGAAAAGGCUGUCUUCCUGGGGAUGUUGUCAGGUGAGGCCUAGAAUUGUGGCAGCCACCUUGCCGCCACCUUGGCAGCCACCUUGCAGCACGGGGAAAAGAUGAGCCUGGGGAG